AUUUUAUUGGAUUGUUCGAAGUCCCUCCAGGACUAGAAGAAGUGGCGCGUUAUGGAGCCACUGUCAUUUGAGCUUAGGAAAGCUCAAAAGAUGGUUUUAUGCCAAUACCUGUGUGCCCUAAAUGCUGUCUUCUGUGUAGUAGCAAAGGGACCUAAUGCCUCUCAGGCCCUUACUUCUGGUACGUAAAAUAUAGUUUCUACUUAACAGCACUUAAAAUUCUAAAGAAGAGUCAAUCAACUAAAGCUCACUCCAGAAAACACAGAAUCUGGGCUUCCCUGGCAGGGAACACGUCUAACGAAAGUGCCAGAAGACAGUCUGACUCCAUCCUGUCCUGUCCUGCAUGGAGACUGUCCCAACAUCUGUAGCUGUGGCUUACGACCUCAUUUGUUGACCCAUAGCUACUCCUGGAGCCCAGGAACCAGCUUUGACUUCAGGCCCCUUUUACCUGAUGCAUCUGGCAGGCAGGGGUCAUAUUCUAUCCAUGAUGUGGAACCAGUCCCAGCUGUCCAAGCCUUUGUGACCUCACAUUAGAUAACUGAAAUCUAAUUCACUUGCAAGUAGCCUGGAAGACCACCCAGGUGUUUCAUAUGGCUGCCGUCUUGCUACUAAACAGGUCCAUUACACAAGCUGGAGCACAUUACACCAGCAGACUAAUUCGCCCAGCGGCAUGGCGAGGCAAUGACCCAUGGAUCAUUAUUGACUUUCUGUGUAACUCUUGGCAUCAGAUUCAACGUGCAUCAAAAUCCACAGGCCACAGCUACUCAUAACCUGUUUCCCGAUCCUCAGGAGAGCUUUAACAUUGGGAUCCAGCCAGUGCAGAUGUAUUUCUACCAAAUUAUGGAAACAGUCCUUCCCAGGACACCUCCCCAGGUGUGGACCUAUCUGUACAGAUUGAGAGCUCAAGGACAGCAGUGGAGUACAAUGUCCAAAAGACUGGCCUUGAAGACGGCUCAAUAACAGAAUCCUGAGCUGAAGCGCCCCACCCUGCGAGCACUAGGGUUUUAAAAUCUAGAGGGAAAUGCCACCUCACAUCAAUAUUAGCAAUCUGACUUUGACUACACACGGACAGAAGUUUCAAAAAUAAUUUCAUAUAUAGAACAAGUCCCUGAAUGUAAGAAGCGGAGAUGGCAUGCCCCAGACCCUUCAUAAGUGAUCAAUUCCCUAAAGAAAUGUCAUAAUUGUAAAUGCAACCUGACAUGGAAAUAAACUUAUUUUUAUCUGAAAAUAUAAACUCUUCCCCUUAUUUUGCAGUAAUGAAUUUAUGAGGAGGGUAUUUUUUCCUAAGGCCAGUGAGAACCUGUCUGCAUUUAUGAAAUUCUAAUAAGAGUUUAGAAGGAAACAAAAGAAAUACGCUCUGAUUUAUUUCAACAAAUGUGCACUAAGCACCUAUUAUGUUUCUCGUUUAUAGGCAAUAUUGAGUAGUCUAAACCACUCCUUCCCCCGAAGGAACACAUGGGGAUACUGGAAACCACACAUACAGCAAUGCAAACAAUGCAAGACAAUUUCAUCUCUCAGUAUGGAGCUGAGUAGUAGAAACCUCCUAAGUACUGCACAGGGGCUAAAAAGGGACAUGUGGAUGUCAUCCAAGAGGUCAGAAGAGUCUGCAGUGUCCCCCAGUAAUAAGGAUGGGAUUGGGAUGGAUAAAGAAAGUAGGGGCAGGCAUUCUGAGUGAAGGGCAAUGCAAAGUUAGUUACAGUGGCAGAGAUGACCAGAGCUCACAGAGUCAGGAAGCAGGUGGGGAGGAGGAGUGAGCAGACCCUGACCACUCUGAUGAAACUGAAGUAGG